rnacentral:lncRNA from 1 species
UUAUGUAUGAGCAACCUGAAGGCUCAGGCACGAACAAAGGAAAAGGAAAGCUGAUCGAAUAAGUGUGUAUUAUGAGUUAAUGGUUAUAGUUGUAUUGGUAUCUAUUCAAGUAUUGUAAGGAAUGUAUUUGAAGGUCACGUACCUGGGGAAGUAAACUUUGUUGUAUGUAAAUUAAGUUCGAAUGUAUUAUUAUAUUAGUAUUAUUCAGCUUAAAGAAAUGGUAUCGUGGAGAACCGAGUUCGGG